GCCAGAGACAAUAACACGAUGAAUACACCAGUUCCUAAUGGAUAACAGAAGUUUAGCAACGUUGCGCGUGGUUGGUAUCCAACCAUCUGGGAAAUCGCGUGCUGCUGGUU
rnacentral:rRNA from 1 species